GGGGUGCGUGCGUGCGUGUGUGUAAAUGUGAUACAUGUAUUUUAACAAAUAUUAGUCAUUUUCAUCAUAACUUCGCAAGUUACGACUCAAAGUAAAGGAAUUUAUUCCAAUAUCACUGUAGUUCCGUUUGUUUACACUAGCCUGUUCCUGUGUGCACCGGAUUUUCAAACCGUAAUGUGGAUGACGAAAAGCUAAACAAAUACAACAAGAAAGGGGGCACACAUGUACAACAUGUAACAAGUAAACAUACACAUGUAGGUCAAGGGAGGAAAAUAACUGUUAUAAUACAGAUUGACUUCUCAAAAGUAAAUAUAAAAACGCCUGUAGCAACUGUCAUAUAAUGUUUAGGCAAAGCUAAACACUCGAAAUAUCAACCAAAGGCAAAUGAACUGAUGAAAUCUAUCGAAGAUGCUGCUGCCAUGUCAGAAAAAGACAGUGAGCUAAGUAAUGCCAUGUGUAAAGGGUUGAUGUGUGAUAUGAACGCACCUAUGAAAAUAUUAUAUUGUACUGUUCAUCAUUCCACAUAGGAACAUGGUUUAUUGAUUAAAGAACGACUCAUAUAAAUGUCAGUAAUGCUAAACUGCAGCUGUUAUCUAUCUUGGUUAACGGAACAUUAAAAACGUUGGCCUAUAUUUAAAAAUAACACGCCAGUCUAUUAUUGGAAACCGGUGCUUUUCCUUUAGAUUUCAGAGUCGGCCGUUUCGUCAGCAAGAGCGCUAUACCUCUUUAGGCCUAUCAUCGGCGCUUUCAGCCGUUGAGCAGGGAGGGAUCUUCAUCGUGCCACACCUGCUGUGACACGGGACCUCGGUUUUGCAGUCUCAUCCAAAGGACCGCCCAUUCAGUCGCCUCUUACGACAGACAAGGGGUACUAAGGACCUAUUCUAACCCGGAACCCCAUGGAUUUUUUUUUUUUUUUUUUUUUUUUACAAAUUGAUGAAUAAUUCUGUCUUUGAAAAAACAAACCACGGAAAGUGAAUGGGGAUCGAAUUGGUACACACUAAACGGAGAUUACGUAAUUAGGCAAAGUUCAUAGGGAAAUUCAAACAGUCGAUUAUUUUAAGACAUCUUAUUUUGAAGAAGAACACGAAUGGUAAAAUUCUUAGCAAAGAUAAAUGCGGGUCGAGAGAACACCGACCGAAGAAUUGUAUGGCGUGCGGUUUUGGAGGAAAAGAAAAGAAAACCGCAAAAGUGGUUAGAAAGCAAUAGUUGACAUAUAUUUGAAAACAAACUCUUUGAUAAUAGCUCCACGAGACAUUCUAUGAAUAUGAUCAGGAGCUUCAAUCACCCAGCUGUUUUCUGUUUCAUUACGUAAAGCUUCUUAGAUAAUAGACGUCGAGUAAUUGACGGAGACAUAUAUACGUUGACCAAUCGGCAAGAUCAAAUCCGAAUGCAAACAUUUGAUACCUUUUUUUUUUCAUUUUUAAUUGUAAAUAAUGCUUUGCGUUUACACAAGAACAUUUUUUACUUUAUUAUGCCAAGGAACUGUGUAUUUUGUUAUCAUAUUUAUGUACAUAGAUUUUUGAAAUUAUAUAAAAUGUUGACUUAUGUCCAUAAUGAAAAAAAAAAUGAAAUAUAAUGUACAGUGGUCAAUCUCAUAACCUAUAGAAUACAAAAUUAAGAGUCGGGCAAACAUGACCCCUGGAUAUACCUGGUCGGGAUAUUAUAUAUGUUUGAAUUUCCAUGGACACAAAUGUUGCUCAAUUAUUAGCUGACCUGGAUUUUUGUAUUCUUUUAAAGCAGAAUUUAUCUUCUACAUAUGAGAAAAAAAAUAUCUUGAUGUUGCCUUCAAGUCGAGUUUUAUCAACAACACUCAUUUUCACUUGCAUGUCGAUUCGGUAUGUCCCAGUAAACUCGAAUAAAAGACACCACGGAAUUUUCCAUAUCUGCUUCAUACCUUUUCCACAUCCAUAGCGUAAGAGUGUGUAAUGGUCAAGAACAGAGACUAUGACCCCCUCUGCUGGGCGUCAUAACAUAGUAUAGGUCGACAGGGGACGUUGUAUCACAUUGUUUGUGAAAAUUACAAAGGCCUGCUUUUGUUCUGUCCAAUUCUAUACAUCCUUAAAUACGCGACAAGCACCUAACAAAUAAGUUGAUGUUACAGGGGUUUCAUCAGGGGCGGAUCCAGGAAUUUGCGGUUACGGGGGGCGCCAUGCACUUUAUGAGGCAGUGGGUCCAGGGCGAAGCCCUCGUGGGGCUCCAGGGGGGCGAAGCCCCCGGAAUCGCCUGGAUUUUUAAGAUUUUAUGGGGCUUGAAAUAUUUCUCCUAUUUAGUCAUUUGUACUAUUUUCUAUCAUUUUUUAAAGGUGAAAUUAAUAAAAUGACCCAAAUUUUAGUUCUCCUAAUAAAGUAAUUCAAGAAAUCACAAGAUUUUGUAAUUUAUUUCUCCGGGAGUUGAAGAAAUUAUUGCUUCUUUUAUCGUUUAGUACAUUUUCCGAAGCAAGAUACCGUGAUUUACCUUAAAUUUGAAAAUUUAGGGUGGGGGGUGGUUGUGCCCCCUCUCAAUCCGCCACUGUUUAUUAGUCUCGUUUAACGUUGUUCCACACUCCUGUGACGUCAUAAGAUUUUGUAAAGUCAAUAAUUUAAUGACUGGAACAUAAAUUUUGUUGGAGUCUUUUUCAAUAGUUAUUGUAAAAAAAUCUUGUUAGCCAUAAAAUAUUUCUAAAGUCCUGGUUAUAUUUGAAUAGUCAAUGAUGUGUUUCAAAAUAUUGAAUCCAAGGACAAUAACUCUGUUUUCAUUAAAUUAUUUAUCAAGUCCAUUAUGCAAUAGAUUUCCUAUAUUUUUCACAAACAUUUUACCAAGGUGAUAAGGAAUUAUUAUCUAUGUCUUUUCAUGAAAUUACAUAAAAUUUUAAUCCAUGAGUGGUUUUGAAUAGCUCAGUUGUAUGGUGCCAGACUUAGGUUUUUUUAUGGGGGUAUACAUACUCUGGAAGCUAUAGAUUUGAAAUUAUUAAGGAAAGGUAUGGAUUUUUUUUUCAUAAAUAACUAUACCAGAUGUACAUCUACUAAUAUAAACAGAAAAAAUGAUAUGUAAACCAUGCUAUAGGGAAAUUGUGUCCAUAUUUGUUUGUUUUUUAACAUUUUGGAGAAUAAGGCUAAUUCAAUAAUUUUGCACUUAUUAUACUAAAACUUGAUGAACAUAUUGAAAAUGACAUGUGUUUUAGUUAUUGACAUGAUUCCUGAUAAAUAAAUGCAAUUUAAAUUU